AUGCACAGUGCUAACCCCGGGCUUGUCGGACUGGAAUCCUUUGAAGAAUGAAUCCCCAAUGACUGUGCUAGAUCCACCAUGCCAUUCAGUGUUGCAGGUCAUGAUGCUUCGAGCUCGUGAUUGGUCUGUGUCAGCGUGAUGGAUACAUUC
rnacentral:snoRNA from 2 species